GAUGAACGCUGGCGGCGUGCCUAAUACAUGCAAGUCGAGCGAACCACUUCGGUGGUGAGCGGCGAACGGGUGAGUAACACGUAGGUGAUCUGCCCAUCAGACGGGGACAACGAUUGGAAACGAUCGCUAAUACCGGAUAGGACGAAAGUUUAAAGGUGCUUCUGGCACCGCUGAUGGAUGAGCCUGCGGCGCAUUAGCUAGUUGGUAGGGUAAAGGCCUACCAAGGCGACGAUGCGUAGCCGACCUGAGAGGGUGAACGGCCACACUGGGACUGAGAAACGGCCCAGACUCCGACGGGAGGCAGCAGUAGGGAAUCUUCGGCAAUGGGCGAAAGCCUGACCGAGCAACGCCGCGUGAAUGAUGAAGGCCUUCGGGUUGUAAAAUUCUGUUAUAAGGGAAGAACGACUUUAGUAGGAAAUGGCUAGAGUGUGACGGUACCUUAUGAGAAAGCCACGGCUAGCUACGUGCCAGCCGCCGCGGUAA
rnacentral:rRNA from 1 species